CCGCGUUCAAGACCGACGGAACUGGACGAAUUUCGUCCGGUCAGUUCUUCCUUCUCCGGCCACCAAUCCUCACCAAACUUCUUCCAUUGGCUUCGUAUGGUCCUUGCGCACCCGUAUGUGGUGGCCUUGCACGGCGGUGGUGAGCUUGUUUCGAUUUGAGUUCGAUUUUAGUCAACGUCUGUUUUCUCCUAGCUCCGGCCACUAAAACUUCAGAUCCUUAGCUCCAUGAACUCGCCUCAACUUGCGGAUCAUCAUACUAGAAGGAUCGCACCUGGAGUGACCGAUUUCACGUUCGUCGGAGCUCGGUCGG
rnacentral:lncRNA from 1 species